rnacentral:rRNA from 1 species
UACAGAGGGUGCAAACGUUGUUCGGAAUUACUGGGCGUAAAGCGCGCGUAGGCGGCUUUGCAAGUCGGGUGUGAAAUCCCCAGGCUUAACCUGGGAACUGCAUUCGAGACUGCAUUGCUAGAGUAUGGGAGAGGGAAGUGGAAUUUCCGGUGUAGCGGUGAAAUGCGUAGAUAUCGGAAGGAACAUCAGUGGCGAAAGCGACUUCCUGGACCAAUACUGACGCUCAUGUGCGAAAGCGUGGGGAGCAAACAGG